UCCCAGCCCGGAUGGCAGCGGCAUCCUUCCCGGAGGGAAGAUACAGCGUACAGCCGGACCCGGG
rnacentral:sRNA from 1 species